GGUUUCUGCUGAGGCGGCGACGAAGCGUGAACGCGAAUUUAUUGAGGAAAAAAUGACCUACUGGGUGGCAGUCGUUGAUGCGUUGAAUGCGGCGUGUAGAGUAUUUUCAAACUGCUAUUUCUGUAAGGACAUUGCGAAAAGAAUAAUCGACAAAAAGGAGAGCGGGAUCAAGAAGCUGAAGAAGAGGGAAAAAGAUUGUUGACGUGAUCUUGCAAUGCAAGUUGCAUUGUGUGCAAC
rnacentral:lncRNA from 1 species